ACGUACACUCCUGCGGGAGGCAGCAGUGGGGAAUUUUGGACAAUGGGCGAAAGCCUGAUCCAGCCAUGCCGCGUGCAGGAUGAAGGCCUUCGGGUUGUAAACUGCUUUUGUACGGAACGAAACGGCCUUUUCUAAUAAAGAGGGCUAAUGACGGUACCGUAAGAAUAAGCACCGGCUAACUACGUGCCAGCAGCCGCGGUAAUACGUAGGGUGCAAGCGUUAAUCGGAAUUACUGGGCGUAAAGCGUGCGCAGGCGGUUAUGUAAGACAGUUGUGAAAUCCCCGGGCUCAACCUGGGAACUGCAUCUGUGACUGCAUAGCUAGAGUACGGUAGAGGGGGAUGGAAUUCCGCGUGUAGCAGUGAAAUGCGUAGAUAUGCGGAGGAACACCGAUGGCGAAGGCAAUCCCCUGGACCUGUACUGACGCUCAUGCACGAAAGCGUGGGGAGCAAACAGGAGUAGAAACCCGAGUAGUCCC
rnacentral:rRNA from 1 species